GAUGAACGCUGGCGGCGUGCCUAAUACAUGCAAGUCGAGCGAACGGACGAGAAGCUUGCUUCUCUGAUGUUAGCGGCGGACGGGUGAGUAACACGUGGAUAACCUACCUAUAAGACUGGGAUAACUUCGGGAAACCGGAGCUAAUACCGGAUAAUAUUUUGAACCGCAUGGUUCAAAAGUGAAAGACGGUCUUGCUGUCACUUAUAGAUGGAUCCGCGCUGCAUUAGCUAGUUGGUAAGGUAACGGCUUACCAAGGCAACGAUGCAUAGCCGACCUGAGAGGGUGAUCGGCCACACUGGAACUGAGACACGGUCCAGACUCCUACGGGAGGCAGCAGUAGGGAAUCUUCCGCAAUGGGCGAAAGCCUGACGGAGCAACGCCGCGUGAGUGAUGAAGGUCUUCGGAUCGUAAAACUCUGUUAUUAGGGAAGAACAUAUGUGUAAGUAACUGUGCACAUCUUGACGGUACCUAAUCAGAAAGCCACGGCUAACUACGUGCCAGCAGCCGCGGUAAUACGUAGGUGGCAAGCGUUAUCCGGAAUUAUUGGGCGUAAAGCGCGCGUAGGCGGUUUUUUAAGUCUGAUGUGAAAGCCCACGGCUCAACCGUGGAGGGUCAUUGGAAACUGGAAAACUUGAGUGCAGAAGAGGAAAGUGGAAUUCCAUGUGUAGCGGUGAAAUGCGCAGAGAUAUGGAGGAACACCAGUGGCGAAGGCGACUUUCUGGUCUGUAACUGACGCUGAUGUGCGAAAGCGUGGGGAUCAAACAGGAUUAGAUACCCUGGUAGUCCACGCCGUAAACGAUGAGUGCUAAGUGUUAGGGGGUUUCCGCCCCCUAGUGCUGCAGCUAACGCAUUAAGCACUCCGCCUGGGGAGUACGACCGCAAGGUUGAAACUCAAAGGAAUUGACGGGGACCCGCACAAGCGGUGGAGCAUGUGGUUUAAUUCGAAGCAACGCGAAGAACCUUACCAAAUCUUGACAUCCUUUGACAACUCUAGAGAUAGAGCUUUCCCCUUCGGGGGACAAAGUGACAGGUGGUGCAUGGUUGUCGUCAGCUCGUGUCGUGAGAUGUUGGGUUAAGUCCCGCAACGAGCGCAACCCUUAAGCUUAGUUGCCAUCAUUAAGUUGGGCACUCUAAGUUGACUGCCGGUGACAAACCGGAGGAAGGUGGGGAUGACGUCAAAUCAUCAUGCCCCUUAUGAUUUGGGCUACACACGUGCUACAAUGGACAAUACAAAGGGCAGCGAAACCGCGAGGUCAAGCAAAUCCCAUAAAGUUGUUCUCAGUUCGGAUUGUAGUCUGCAACUCGACUACAUGAAGCUGGAAUCGCUAGUAAUCGUAGAUCAGCAUGCUACGGUGAAUACGUUCCCGGGUCU
rnacentral:rRNA from 1 species